ACGGGUGAGUAAUGCUUGGGAAUCUGGCUUAUGGAGGGGGAUAACUACGGGAAACUGUAGCUAAUACCGCGUAGUAUCGGAAGAUGAAAGUGCGGGACCGCAAGGCCGCAUGCCAUGGGAUGAGCCCAAGUGGGAUUAGGUAGUUGGUGGGGUAAAGGCCUACCAAGCCUGCGAUCUCUAGCUGGUCUGAGAGGAUGGCCAGCCACACUGGAACUGAGACACGGUCCAGACUCCUACGGGAGGCAGCAGUGGGGAAUAUUGCGCAAUGGGGGGAACCCUGACGCAGCCAUGCCGCGUGAAUGAAGAAGGCCUUCGGGUUGUAAAGUUCUUUCGGUAUUGAGGAAGGUUGAUGUGUUAAUAGUACAUCAAAUUGACGUUAAAUACAGAAGAAGCACCGGCUAACUCCGUGCCAGCAGCCGCGGUAAUACGGAGGGUGCGAGCGUUAAUCGGAAUAACUGGGCGUAAAGGGCACGCAGGCGGUUAUUUAAGUGAGGUGUGAAAGCCCCGGGCUUAACCUGGGAAUUGCAUUUCAGACUGGGUAACUAGAGUACUUUAGGGAGGGGUAGAAUUCCACGUGUAGCGGUGAAAUGCGUAGAGAUGUGGAGGAAUACCGAAAGCGAACGCAGCCCCUUGGGAAUGUACUGACGCUCAUGUGCGAAAGCGUGGGGAGCAAACAGGAUUAGAUACCCUGGUAGUCCACGCUGUAAA
rnacentral:rRNA from 1 species